GGGGAAUAUUGCACAAUGGGCGAAAGCCUGAUGCAGCAACGCCGCGUGAGUGAUGAAGGUCUUCGGAUUGUAAAGCUCUGUCUUUUGGGACGAUAAUGACGGUACCAAAGGAGGAAGCCACGGCUAACUACGUGCCAGCAGCCGCGGUAAUACGUAGGUGGCGAGCGUUGUCCGGAUUUACUGGGCGUAAAGGGUGCGUAGGCGGAUGUUUAAGUGAGAUGUGAAAUACCCGGGCUUAACUUGGGUGCUGCAUUUCAAACUGGAUAUCUAGAGUGCAGGAGAGGAGAAUGGAAUUCCUAGUGUAGCGGUGAAAUGCGUAGAGAUUAGGAAGAACACCAGUGGCGAAGGCGAUUCUCUGGACUGUAACUGACGCUGAGGCACGAAAGCGUGGGUAGCAAACAGGAUUAGAUACCCUGGUAGUCCACGCCGUAAACGAUGAGUACUAGGUGUAGGAGGUAUCGACCCCUUCUGUGCCGCAGUAAACACAUUAAGUACUCCGCCUGGGAAGUACGAUCGCAAGAUUAAAACUCUAAAGUGAAUUGACGGGGUC
rnacentral:rRNA from 1 species